rnacentral:rRNA from 1 species
UACGGGGGGAGCAAGCGUUGUUCGGAUUUACUGGGCGUAAAGGGCGCGUAGGCGGCGCAACAAGUCACUUGUGAAAUCUCCGGGCUUAACCCGGAGCGGUCAAGUGAUACUGUCGUGCUAGAGUGCGGAAGGGGCUACUGGAAUUCUCGGUGUAGCGGUGAAAUGCGUAGAGAUCGGGAGGAACACCAGAGGCGAAGGCGGCGACCUGGACAGGUACUGACACUCAACUACG